rnacentral:rRNA from 1 species
UAGCGGAGGAGAUUCCGUAGGUGACAUGCGAAUACGCAUAUCAAUAAGCGGAGGAACCUUCCCGACGGCCCCCGGACCGGCGCCGGACCCAGGCGCCCGCCGCAGGUACCCCAAACUCUCUUGCAUUACGCCCAGCGGGCGGAAUUUCUUCUCUGAGUUGCACAAGCAAAAACAAAUGAAUCAAAACUUUCAACAACGGAUCUCUUGGUUCUGGCAUCGAUGAAGAACGCAGCGAAAUGCGAUAAGUAAUGUGAAUUGCAGAAUUCAGUGAAUCAUCGAAUCUUUGAACGCACAUUGCGCCCGCCAGCAUUCUGGCGGGCAUGCCUGUUCGAGCGUCAUUUCAACCCUCGAGCCCCCCCGGGGGCCUCGGUGUUGGGGGACAGGCACACCAGCCGCCCCCGAAAUGCAGUAGCGACCCCGCCGCAGCCUCCCCUGCGUAGUACACACACCUCGCACCGGAGCGCGGAGGCGGGUCACGCCGUAAAAACGCCCAACUUUCUUAGAGUUGACCUCGGAUCAGGUAGGGAAUACCCGCUGAACUUAAGCAUAUCAAUAAGCGGAAGAAA